AUUUCAUGAAGCUACAAUGCCAUAUAUGAGACCUGUCCAUUUCGGUAUUUACAGUAGAAGUUUGAGAGACGGAUUUGAUGGACCUAUGUUUCAAUUUGGGCCAUUAUAGCAGUUUAAUGGUUCGAAAACCCGGCAUAUUUUAAACCCUAGCGUAGGAUAAUUUUUUACUAGUUUGUACCAAGUCUAGUAGCAAUUAGCAUUUUUUCUGCCUUUAUGACACAC